CCUACGGGUGGCUGCAGUGGGGAAUAUUGGACAAUGGGGGGAACCCUGAUCCAGCCAUGCCGCGUGUGUGAAGAAGGCCCUCGGGUUGUAAAGCACUUUCAGUGAGGAAGAACGCCUGGUGGUUAAUACCCAUCAGGAAAGACAUCACUCACAGAAGAAGCACCGGCUAACUCCGUGCCAGCAGCCGCGGUAAUACGGAGGGUGCGAGCGUUAAUCGGAAUUACUGGGCGUAAAGCGCGCGUAGGUGGCUUGAUAAGCCGGUUGUGAAAGCCCCGGGCUCAACCUGGGAACGGCAUCCGGAACUGUCAAGCUAGAGUGCAGGAGAGGAAGGUAGAAUUCCCGGUGUAGCGGUGAAAUGCGUAGAGAUCGGGAGGAAUACCAGUGGCGAAGGCGGCCUUCUGGACUGACACUGACACUGAGGUGCGAAAGCGUUGGUAGCAAACAGGAUUAGAUACCCCUGUAGUC
rnacentral:rRNA from 1 species